GGAGGAAAAGAAACCAACAGGGAUUCCCUGAGUAGCGGCGAGCGAAAAGGGAUGAGCCCAGCGCCGAAUCCCCCGCCUGAAAGGGCGAGGGGAAAUGUGGCGUUUGGGAGUGAGCGUGAUGGAGAUCGGUACGGCAUCAAGUCCCCCUGACCGGGGCUGUUGCCCAGAGUGGGUGCGAGGCCCAUAGCUGCCGAGCCAACUCCUGAUGCGAACUCCCUGGAGUCGGGUUGCUUGAGAGUGCAACCCUAAGUGGGUGGUAAACUCCACCUAAGGCUAAAUACGACCGUGAGACCGACAGCAAACAAGUACCGUGAGGGAAAGUUGCAAAGAACUUUGAAGAGAGAGUUCAAGAGUACGUGAAACUGUUCGGAGGGAAACAGGUGGGCCCUCGAAAUCCUGUGGCGGGGUGAUUCAGUCGUGUGUGGUAGACGGCGGUAAGGGUGUGAACCGGAAUGGAUUCCGCUUGAGCGGACCGGCCCUGUCCGUCGCUUUUUCCACGCCUCGACGCAUUUCACUCCCGUCCGAAGGACGCCGCAACCGGCUUGGAGACGGCUUUGAGACUGGGAGAGGCAGGUGGCCGGUGGCGCCUCUUGUGGGUGCCGUCGGUUCUUGGCUAUCUCGGUGUACGGCUCGUAGCCAGGCCGUGGUGAACUCUGGUUCCUGAAGGGACCUUUCCGCCUCCUCCCAACGGAGCGGGGUGUGGUGUGGCAGGAGUUCUGUGCUGAAACCUGGUGGGCGCACGGACAGAAUCCGUGGCUUUGCCGGGCACAGUCUCCGUUGGCUGCGCGAGACCCGCGGGAGUGUCGGUGGUUAGCGGCGAGUAGAUCGGCAACCCACCUGACCCGUCUUGAAACACGGACCAAGGAGUAUAACAUGUGUGCGAGUCAAUGGGUCUUGGACAAGCCCAGAGGCGGAAUGAGAGUGAAGGCGGGUGUGACACCCGUCGAGCCGAGAUCCCCGUUCCUUUGCGUUCGGGGCGCACCGGCGGCCCGUCCCGUGUCACACUGUGACUGGGGCGGAGUAUGAGCAUACACGUUGUGACCCGAAAGAAGGUGAACUAUGCCCGGGCAGGGCGAAGCCAGAGGAAACUCUGGUGGAGGCCCGCAGCGGUUCUGACGUGCAAAUCGAUCGUCAGACCUAGGUAUAGGGGUGAAAGGCCAAUCGAACCUUCUAGUAGCUGGUUCCCUCCGAAGUUUCCCACAGGAUAGCUGGCGCUCAUGGGAUUCAGUCUCAUCCGGUAAAGCGAAUGAUUAGAGGCCUUGGGGCCGAAACGACCUCAACCUAUUCUCAAACUUUAAAUGGGCGAGAAGGCCGCCCUACAUGACUGAGGGCCGGCCAUUUUGGAUGAGAGUGCCCAGUGGGCCAUUUUUGGUAAGCAGAACUGGCGCUGUGGGAUGAACCAAACGCCGGGUUAAGGCGCCCGAUGCGAGACGCUCAUGAGACCCCAUGAAAGGUGUUGGUUGCUCUAGACAGCAAGUCCGUGGCCAUGGAAGUCGGAAUCGGCUAAGGAGUGUGUAGCAACUCACUUGCCGAAGCAACUAGCCCUGAAAAUGGAUGGCGCUUCAGCGUCGAGCCUAUACCCGGCCGCUGCGGCAGAAACCUACGGGUCUACGCCGCAGUGAGUAGGAGGGUCGCGGUGGUGUGCGUUGAAGGUGCCGGGCGCAAGCCCGCCUGGAGCCACCACCGGUGCAGAUCUUGGUGGUAGUAGCAAAUACUCAAGUGAGAACCUUGAGGACUGAAGCUGGAGAAGGGUUCCAUGUGAACAGCAGUUGAACAUGGGUCAGUCGGCCCUAAGGGAUCGGGGAAACCCGUUCUGAAGCGGGACAUUGACUUAAGUCCGCCCAAGACGAACCUUGACGGCUCGUCCCGCUGCCGACCGAAAGGGAAUGGGGUUAAUAUUCCCCAACCCGGACACGGAGACAGGGCCUUCGGGCCCGAGUGCGGUAACGCAAUCGAACUCGGAGACGUCGGCGGAGGACCCGGGGAAGAGUUUUCUUUUCUUUGUAAGAGUUCGUGUCCCUGGAAUCGGCUCGUCCGGAGAUAGGGAUGCUGUUCUCGUAAAAGCACCGCGGCUCUUGCGGUGUCCGGAGCGCUUCUGCCGGCCCUUGAAAAUCCGAGGGAGAAAGUGUGAUUUUCGUGCCGGUCCGUACCCAUAUCCGCAGCAGGUCUCCAAGGUGAACAGCCUCUAGUCGAUA
rnacentral:rRNA from 1 species